CUGUAAGCCUGUGAAGGUGAGUUGAGAAGCUUGCUGGAGGUAUCAGAAGUGCGAAUGCUGACAUGAGUAACGACAAUGCGAGUGAAAAACUCGCACGCCGAAAGACCAAGGUUUCCUGCGCAACGUUAAUCGACGCAGGGUUAGUCGGCCCCUAAGGCGAGGCAGAAAUGCGUAGUCGAUGGGAAGCGGGUUAAUAUUCCCGCACUUCUAGUUACUGCGAUGGGGGGACGGAGAAGGCUAGGCCAGCACGGCGUUGGUUGUCCGUGUUUAAGGUGGUAGGCAGAGAUCUUAGGCAAAUCCGGGAUCUUAAUGCCGAGAACUGAUGACGAGUGUCCUUAUGGACGCGAAGUGGUUGAUGCCAUGCUUCCAGGAAAAGCCUCUAAGCUUCAGGUAACUAGGAACCGUACCCCAAACCGACACAGGUGGUUGGGUAGAGA
rnacentral:rRNA from 1 species